CGUGACUCUGCGCCAUCAUUGGCCGCUUGCGCUAGCCCAGCUCCGUGCGACCGCAGGGAGGGUUGGCAACACCUCUUCCCCUUCCGACAGAGAUGGAAAUCGAUCACAAUUGAUCUGCAGACAUGCAUCAGAAGUUUCUAGCUUUAACUGAAUCACUUUCUAGCAUCACUGAUAACUCACUUUGUAAAAAAAAACUUAGGCGAAAUAUUUGGUAAACUUGCAAAAAUACAUAUGCAGACACAUUUGGUGUGGUUGAUCUUCGUGGCAGAUCUGUCCAAAUGGCAGUAACCCAGGGAAGCUAGGUGAAAAGGCUCCUCAAAGGGAAAUAUUAGGAUGGUGGUAAUACAUUUGAAUCAUCGACUGCACCUUCUUGUAGUUAUUUGGAAUGCAUGGCUGAUGUAGUGAAAGCUCUUAACGUCGACGGAGCGUGCACUCACAUGAAAUCUUCCUUGGGUGGAAUUCGGAAAUUGGAAUGGUGGUAAUGGGCAGGAGAAUCUCUUUGUAUCAUUUUUCUCGACAUGGCAGCUGAAGUAAGGUUAUGGAACAUCUGAUUCUAGCAGUAUGCUCCAUCUGAAGAUGUUCCUUUAGUAGCUGAUUCUGCCAUAGGCAUUUUCAGCGCGGCCUUUGCUCACAUCACCUCCGUACUACCACGUAAUUCUCCCCAUCCUUCUCCACCUUGACGUGGUUGGUUAAGCGGUGCUCCUACAGGUGAGAGUGCCUACGAUCCAAUUCCUGAUAAAAUAUCAGGAGUCUUCUUUGUUGGGCCAAGUCAGGAGCAUAUAUGGAUAGUGGUCACCAUUGGAUGGGACCUUUCAAUCCGAAAUUGCUGAAAUAGUGAAGUAAAAUACAUCUCAAGCAUUGAGCAUUACUGAUGAAGACCAAGCCACUACAGGGGAUGCACUUGAUCUGCCAUCUUCCUCUGUGCAUUGGAACUCCUAGACAUGUCCGAAUAUUCA